rnacentral:lncRNA from 1 species
AAAUUAUUAUUUUUAAAACUUAUUUUCCCUGGCUCAGAAGUCCUUCGGGAGAAGAACCGCAUCUCCAGUGGGGCAUUUGCCCUCCUAGCAAACGUGGUUAUUUGAAGCCAUCCCGAGAGGACGCAACACACCUAAUGACUGCUUUGCAUCAAAAAACCCUAGAAGCAGAAAUACUGAUGCAGCCUCUGCAUUUGUGACAGGAAGUCUCACUCUUCCAGAACUCAUUUGCCUGGUCCAUCCCCACAGAAGGUGAUCAAUUUAGGGAAAAGGAUAGAAACCACAUGACAAAUAACCACUUAUUGUAACAAUAUGGCCUCUAUGGUUGAAAGGUAACAUUUUCCAACACGCAGAGCAAGCCUGGCCCAAUACUAAGUGUUUCAUAUAAUUAUCUCUUUGAAUCUUUACCCCAGCCGUUUCAGGUAGGUGCUGUUACUAUAGCCAUUUUACAGAUGAGGAAAUUGAGGUUCCAAAAGGUUAGUGGUGUGGCUCAACAAUAGGUGAGUAUUUAAGGGUGGAACCAGCAUCUGAAACCAAGGCUAUUUUUUUAUUUUAUUUUUUUGUCUUUUUGCCUUUUUUUUGGGCCGCUCCCGCGGCAUAUGGAGGUUCCCCAGCUAGGGGUCAAAUCCGGAGCGGUAGCCGCUGGCCUGCGCCACAGCCUCAGCAACGCAGGAUCCAAGCCGCGUCUGCAACUUACACCACAGCUCACGGCAACACCGGAUCCUUAACCCUCUGAGCAAGGCCAGGGAUCGAACCUGCAACUUCAUGGCGCCUAGUCGGAUUCGUUAACCACAGAGCCACAACGGGAACUCCACCAUGGCUAUUUAACUGCAGAACCCUCUUUCCUAAUCGCUGUUCUACUUGGGGGCACAGAGCUAGACCUUAGGCACAGGAAGCAGAGGCCCCGGAUGAUGACGGAUCUGCUUAAACUCAAAUGAUAGGUGUCCACCAACAGAAUGAGAUGGCUUCUACUGCCUCAUCCAACUAGAGAAAAGCUGGAGAGUCUUUUGAUAUUUGCCUAUAAAUCUACAGGGGAAUAUCUUUUGAGAGUUGAGCUGAGAACAUCCAUGCCACAUGACGUGGAAUCUUGGCAGACUUCUACUCACGAACCCAAUUAAGAGCCUGUCUAUUCAGUCAUAAGAAUCAUUUCUAAACCACUGGAAACUAGCCGUGUUCCAGCAGGAGUCUCCAAUCCCACCUGGGUCUGUUCUGAUAAGAGCAAACCUGGCGAAUGAUCAUCUGUUUCAUAAUAGCAUAUUUAUCUCAAGCUUUCAGGGGAGUCAUCUUUGAAAAAAUUCAUAAGCAGAAAGUUAACUGUUGUAAUAAACUGAUGUUGAUGGUACAGGUUUUAUUACUUUUGUUGUUUCGGUGAUUUUUCUUUUCUUCUUUUUUUAAGAGCUCAAUAAACCACACUGAAUGUUAACAAUCCAUUGGCUCUAAAGGGAACGGUUUUCGCUCCCAGAAAAUUCAUUUUGCCUCCCCAAUCUGAACCUAUAAACACAAAAGCUUUUUUGUCUUCUAAAAAGGCCUAGCCUUAGUUGUUUCCACAAGAUCAGCCCCAUUGAUCUGAAGCACCUGUGCUUCUAGAAAAUGUAGGACAUUAUCACUUUUGACCAUUUGUCCAGGAAGCUGUGCUUGGACUAAUGUUAUUUGUCCAGCUGGGUAUUCUGAUCAGGACAGCAAAGAUCAAAGCAGUUGAGGAUUGUGUAACCUGGAAAGCUCUGUCCUGAUAACCAAGCCUGGAGCGUACGGGUCUGAUUAUAAAACUCCCUGUUAUUUAUCCUUUUAGGACCCUGAUACGUGGAAGGCAGUGCUGUCUGUAAUGGCCACAACCCACUUCACGGAUUCCUAGGACCACUUUUAGGUCGUGCUGUAGUUCUGCUUCGUUUUCUACAUAGGGAGCACCCCGAAAGCACGAGAUGAAAACCCAAAGUGCAGUUAUCAGUGCGGAGACCCUGAGAUGGUUAAGAGAACAACGAACAGGGGUGUGGGAGGAGGCCUUUGGAACCGCGUGCCCCUCCCCUCCUGGACAGGCCCCCUCCAGCCCUCCCCCAGGGAAGAAGGCGCUGCAACAGCAUCCCCUUGCCGCUCCCUGCUCCUGCACGCACCCCAAGGGCGGGAAGGCCGUGGUGAGCACAGGAUAAGACACUCAUGGGGGAAACAGCCCUGGGUGUUCAGUGAAAGCAGGAGGGUUGGGGCUGGGAAGGCCAAAACAGGAAGAGGAAAAAUACAGGACAGUCUGGCAAGAAAGGAAACACUCAAAGAGCCAAGAAAGUAAUAGNAAAACGAUGGGAUUGCAUCGUGUGUAUGACACUUUUGGACAUGGUGAAGCCCUACAGAAUUCAAAGACUCUUUCAUUCAAUAACAAAUGUGCAAAUGCUGUUCAACCUAAUUUUUUUAUUUAAAAAUUUUGAUUAAACAAUUUAAAAUUCUUACAUAGCAAUUUUCAUUUUUUUUUUUUUAUUUAACAAGUUUUUAUUAAAGCGUAGGGGGGUUUUGUUUGUUUUUCUUUGGGGGGCCACACUUGCAGCAUAUGGAGGUUUCCAGGCCAGGGGUCAAAUCUGAGCUGCAGCUGCCGGCCUGUGCCACCUGCCACAGCAACGCUGGAUCUGAGCUGCAUCUGUGACUCUGCCACAGCUCACAGCAGCGCCAGAUGCUUAACCCACGGAGCCAGGCCAGGGAUCGAACCCAAAUCCUCAUGGAUACUAGUGGGGUUCUUAACCCACUGAGCCAUGAUGGGAACUUGAUUUAUAUUGUGUCAGUUUCUGCUGUACAGCAGAAGUGACCUGGUCACACACACACACACACACACACACACACACACACACACACACACACUCCUUUUCUCAUAUUUCACCAUGGUCUAUCCCAAGAGACUGGAUAUGCUAUAGUAGGAUCUCAUUUCUUAUCCAUUAUAAGUCUCCCAUUUUUAAUUUAAAAAUGAAAAUAAAAAUAAAAAGCUACAGCCUGUAUUGACCUGAGAAGCCAGGAGCUGAAGGGAGCCUUCGAAACUAGAAAGAUGCAGGAGUGGCAGGCCCUGUGGGGAGCUCCCGAAGCUUUCCCUGACAGGGCCAGGCGCAGAGAGGGGAGAAUCCUUUUCCACCAGGCACCUCCCAGCCUGGCAAACGAUGGCUGGCUGCGUGAUGCUGGCCUCUCCCUGCUCCUUGGUAAAGAGCUUACAGGGAGGUGGGAGGGGAGGGAUUGCAGAGAACCUGCUGGGGUGCCUCUUCCCUUUCUGAGUUUGAAAGCUUCUCAGGGAACUUUAAAGGCUGACAGCUAAAUUUAAUCAGAGUUAAACCAUUGCAAUGAAGUUCUUAUGCAACACACAUGACAUGUGGCUCUGCCAGAACUUUCCCUACAAGGUAACGGUACAGACUCCUAGGAGCAGCCAGGCAGUUUGGAAAUGAGUUCAGGGGAGCCAGGAAAUGUGAAAAUAGGGUUCAUUGCUAAUAUCUCUUUCGGGGACUCAGGGCCUGCGGGUUCACCCGGCAGCAUUUCACAGCUGGUAUUCUGUAACCACAGCACUCCGUUGCCGCAGUUUGGUGAAAUUCUUCAUACAUGGCAUCUUAACUGCAUUCUAUAUUUAAGACAGCCUCCCCCCCCCUCCCCCCGCGGGAGCCUUCAAAUGUUUUCUGCAAAAGGAGCUUGCAUAAAUGUUACAACCAGCGACUUGGACUGAAUGAAACAGAACAUUCGUUUGUUUCCAGAGUCAUCGACAACCUGAUUCUGGGCCAGUUCUGUCUUUUGAGAAAGUGGACAGGUCCGCCUCUGGUUCACACUGGCUUGCCACAUGAUCUGUUUUCUUUACAAACAGAUGUUAAGCCAACAGUGCUAUGUCAUGUCCCUGUGACAAGGUCUGAUGAGAAGGCCACUUUUCCUCUGAGGUGGUCCUCUCCCCAACCCGUUACCCCCAUCCAACCGUGACAAAAACAUCAGAUAAACCCAAACGGAAACUCUUUCUGUGUGUCACAUGACCUUUACUCCUUAAAUUGUGAAGGUCAAUCCCAAAUGGGGAAAGCCUGGGAAACUGUCACCGUCUAGACAGCCAGAAGAGACUUGCGACACGAUGGGAACAUACAAGGAUAGUAGGUGAAAACUAGGGAAAUUUGAAUAAAGUAGGGUCUCUAAUCACUGGUACUACAUUAUUUUUGGUUCCUUCGUUGUGACAGAUGUUCCAUGCAGAUGUCAGAUGUAAACAGUGGGGAAACUGAGUGUGAGGGACAUGGAACUGGCGGUGUUAAGACAGUUCAUAAUACACUGUCUGUCUGUGAAGAUAGCUUCACAACUUUUCCAUAAAUCUAAAACUCUUCUAAAAUCGUUUACUAAAAACGUAAAUGCUGGAGUUCCCGUUGUGGCUCAGCAGACACGGAUCUGACUAGCAUCCAUGAGGGAUGCAGGUUCCAUCCCUGGCCUCUCUCAGUGGGUUAAGGACCCGGCGUUGCUGUGAGCUGUGGUGUAGGUCGCAAGACAAGGCUUGGAUCUGGCGUGGCUGUGGGGUGUGUGUCUGGCGUGUGGGCUAGCAGCUGUAGCUCUGAUUCAGCCCCUAACUUGGGAACCUCCAUGUGCCAUGGAUGCAGCCCUAGAAAGACCAAAACGUAGAAUAAAAAUAAAAAUAAAUGCUCAAAGUUAGCUUGGCCUGUGGUUCAGCAAAACCUGUCGUUUAAGUCCAUUCCUGUUUCCAUUUCUGGUUGGUUGAAAUUCCUGUCCCGACGGUCUCAUUAUUCCUGAUAUUUUACCAGGAGGAAAAUGGAAACACAAAGAUGGGACGGAAGGCAAGGUGUGGGAUGCUGCGGUAAGGGGGAAGUGUCUCUUCUAGAACUCGGCUUCUUGGUUGUCCACUCAAGUACCUGGCCUGUGGGCUUUGCCCAGCUCUAUCCUGCCAGGAUGCUGGGUAAGAAAGGGUUGUUACCUUUUUAAGGCUCUAUCUCUUUCAGCAGGAUAUUUUGGAGAGAAGAAAGCAAGUCCUAGAGAAUGAUUUUUUACGAUGGUGGAAUUUCCAGAAAAAAAAUACAGAUGAUUAGAGAUAGAGAAGGGCUCCACUGGUCCACAAGCCCUUUCUGCCCAUGGGGCUAGUCCCUGCCCAUAUGACAGAGUCAGCAGUCGGUAUUAGGGCCAUGGCCAUAAAUCCUGAUGCCUAAGGUCAGUGACUCUCCGCAGUCCAUCAGGGAUAACGUGACUUCUCAUUUCAGGUNCAUCAGGGAUAACGUGACUUCUCAUUUCACACAAUGACCUGUGUCAUUGUCAGUGUGGGGUGAGUCCUGGAGUGCGUGUCAGCAGGAGGCUGGAAUCAGCUCUGCAGAGAUGACCUGUUACCUUGCUUUUUUGGUCUUUACCUGCCUGAACGUUGUCACCAGCUAUCUAACCAAAUCCUGCAACUGCUGUAACAACGGCAUGGCAGACUUUGGACUCAUAAAACCCUGAGUUCAAGCCCCCACUUGUAAACUUGCCACUUCCUGGCUGUGUGACCUAGGUCAGGCUACUUAAUCUCGCUGCUGUUCAGAUUUUCCAGCAGGAGCAAGGCUGCCUGUGGUCCUGCCUUGAAGGAUUGGCAUGAGGGUUAGCGUCACUGGAUGUAUGAGAGCUCCUUGCCCAAUGUCUGGAAUACGGUGGGCGCUGAACGAAUAUUCUUUUCCUUCCAUUCUCGCAGAGCCAGGAUAGUGGAGACAGGCACAGUCUGGUCAGCUCAGCCCUUUGAUGAAUGGUUGUCUCCGUUCUCACAAGAUUAGCGUUUCUAAUAGGAUUAGGAAUUGGGCUAAUUCAUUGAUCAUGUGCAAAUAAUCGCUUCCAAUUCGUGCAGAACCAAGCAAAUGCUCUUUUAGGGCAAACACUUACUUAUUAUUAUUUUAUUGUUAUUCAGUAGAAAGGUCCAAUUAUAUUCCACCCAAAAUGGACUGGACCACCGUCUUGCUGGAGAGUGAAGGUUACCUGAACCCAGGAGCAAUGCAAAGUAGCCACUAAAAAGGAUCAUUCAAAACAAGAUAGGAACCAUCAGCUUUUAGGAUACUUUGCUGCAAAAAUGCCAGUGUAUCUUUGAUAGGAUUGUGGGAACAGAUAAGUAACAACAACAACAAAAAAAAGCAGCUAACAUGGCUUAGAAUGGUGGGAAAAGGAUGCAAAAAAACCCAAGUAAUUAAUCAAAAAGCAAGUGGCCAGACAGGGCAAACAAGAAGAGAGCCCUUCAGACAAUCUGAAGGUGAAAAGGCUGGAGAAAGUUCCGACCUGAAACUCUAAAAGGAGACUAAGAAGCAGAUGCUCCAUAUGUCUCCCAACGUCCAGUGCAUUUCUCUCUCCGAAUGGCAGCAUCUUCCUAGUAAACAUGUGUCCGUUAUGCUAAAGUGCACCAAGUGUGUCUGUGACACUAGCCCUUCUUGUGUUUAACUAUUGCCCUACGGGUGGGAUAGAGUCUGUUUCCAGAUACUGUGAAUAGAAAAAACACUGCGUCAAAGCAGCAUGGCCAAAAUAUUUUUUUAAGAUCCGAUCCUAAAAAUGGUAUGAUUUUGUUACUAACAGACAUGAAUUGAGUGCCCCAUAUAAGCAGUGUGCCGGGUUACCACGCGGAGUAAGGUGUAGGCCUUGCACCCGGGAGACUACAGUGCAGGCAGAAUUUAGUGGAGACAGAUGCUUAUAUAAUGUAUUUUAUAUGUAUUUAGUUCACCUUGAAAAAUACCAGAAUAGAAGUAAAUGCCAAGUGCUAUGAUCUAAUGUAUAAAAGUCAUUUGCACUGUACCUGGCAUAGUAAGUCCUCAGUAGCAAAAUGACAAAGAUGUUGACAGCAGCCAUUGCAUUUUGGAUAGAAUCAUUUAAAUGCUACUUCCUAUGAUUCACAUUUAUAGAAAAAUAAAUAAAAUUGAGAAAGCACCAAAAAGUGCUCCUUGGCGUAUAACAAUCAAUGACAACCCACAUAUGCCUAGGCUGUGCCAUCGAAUAGCAAAGAUUAACCAGUUCUUUCUAAUUGCUUGAACAAAGUUCCUCAUGGAACAGAAUCUUCUUUCGUAGUGAUGUUCUAAUGGCAUGAGGUCAUUCUGGCUUAAAUGCUGUCAGGUGGAAUGACUUUGGUCUCAAAGCAUGACGUGGGUCAGAUAGAGCUAUUUUCAGAUAAGAGGUCAAUUUAGUUGUACUUUUGUUUCUCUAAAAAUAUGUUUAUAUGUAUAUAUAUAAGACAUUUAAAUAUGUUUUGCAUGGAGUUCCUGUUGUGGCUCAGUGGUUAAUGAACCCGACUAGCAUUCACGAGGACGUGGGUUCCAUCCCUGGCCUCGCUCAGUGGGUUAAGGAUCCGGCGUCGCCAUGAGCUGUGGUGUAGGUCGCAGACAUGGCUGGGAUCCCACGUUGCUGUGGCUGUGGUGUAGGCCAGUGGCGACAGCUCCAAUUCGGCCCUUAGCCCAGGAGCCUCCAUAUGCUGCCGUUGCGGCCCUAAAAGACAAAAAGGCAAAAAUAACUAACUAAAUAAAUAAAUGUUUUAUAUAUAUGUGUGUGUGUAAUAGAUACACGUUUGGUGUAAUACUUUCACGGAUCGAGGCGGAUAUGGGAACUCUAAAAUUUUCCAUACGAACGUUUUUUUUUUUUUUUUGCAUGCGUUCCAGAUUCCCAUCACUGCCUCGAGCAGCCAGGUCUACAGACCUGAACAAUGGUUAAUGUUUAAAAAGGUACAGCAUGUUCUGGUUAUAACAACCCUGCUCAUUUCCCCUUCCUGAUGGUGCUGCUGUGAUUGCAGGACUCAAGUAAGGGCUUUUCAUUACAUGAAAAGAUAUGAGAAAUGAUGCUCAAAUCAGACUAAAGGUGAGAUUAAAUUUGCUUGACGAUAAAGAACUUGCAACCUUAAAAAAAAAAAAAAAA